rnacentral:rRNA from 1 species
UACGAAGGGGCUAGCGUUGCUCGGAAUUACUGGGCGUAAAGGGCGCGUAGGCGGAUAGUUUAGUCAGAGGUGAAAGCCCAGGCUCAACCUUGGAAUUGCCUUUGAUACUGGCUAUCUUGAGUUCGGGAGAGGUGAGUGGAAUGCCGAGUGUAGAGGUGAAAUUCGUAGAUAUUCGGCGGAACACCAGUGGCGAAGGCGACUCACUGGCCCGACUACUGACGCUGAGGCGC